GAGCUGUUGACCUCCCAAGACCGGCACUGUUGAGUAGGCCACACAAACCCUCUGCUUGUUCUAUUUUCCAAUACAGUUUUCAAUUUGUUUUUGUAAGACCUUAUUCAAGCCACCAGAAUCAAAGAUGACAUGUUAGGUAUUUGUUACUCUCCCCUCUCUGUGGAUUGGUGAGAGCCAGAUGCAGAUGCUAUACUUUGAAAGUAAGACAAUGAAAUGCAUUCUUAAUAUUGGAAACAGCAAUGCAGGAAUUAAAACUGAGUAAGAGAGUCUUCUAAUUCACCUAUUCACACAGACCUUAUAUUUAACUCUGAUGACUGGAUAGUAUUUUAUGUUAGAGAAACAGCAUCUUGUGAGCCAACUUUAAAAAAAUGAAUGAUUAAAGGUUGGUAUGAUUUUUUUCUUAAAAAUGUAUCAAUUUUAAUCUAGAAGAUUUAAUUAACAUGCUGUCUCUGUAUUUCAGAGGCAAACAAGAAAUGAGGAAAAUUGCAUUGUAGAUCAGUUUUAUGUGCAGUGUACUAUUUGCUGGGCUAGAAAUGAGAUAAAGAGUAUUUAUUUUUGUUCAUAUCUUGUACUACUUUUCUAUUAAAAUCAUUUUAUGAAA
rnacentral:lncRNA from 1 species